AUGGAUAGCUAUGACCUCGUUGUUUUAAAGACUAUUUCCAUUGCUGGGUAUGGAGUAAGAAAAACUAGAAUGGGAAGAAGAAGUAUACCCACCUUACGCAAACGGACCGGGCUAUGUUAUUUCAUCAGCGCUGAGUACAUCGUAUCUAAGUUUGACAACCAGAAACGGAGAAAGUUCGACAAGACUCGCCAGCCGGUGGAGUAUUCGCACGACGUCAAGUUCUUCCAGGCCGGCUGCUUCGACGGUAACUACACCGCACACUACCAGUCGCCGCAACACAUGAUCUGCCUCUGGAGGAAGCUGCAGUCAGGGAGCGCUCAAUGCUGCAACGCCAGAUGA
rnacentral:rRNA from 1 species